rnacentral:lncRNA from 1 species
CUGAAAUUCCAUCGUGGGGAGAGCCUUGUUUCCGAGAAGGCCCUGUACCUGGAGAAUCUCCAGUCCAGGGCUCCCUGGGGCGGCCUCCAGCUGUGGACGCCUUUUGGAAGUACGAUGGGGCGUAAAUAAACUGACGCUCAAGACGUCCCACAGACAGCCCCACCUCCUUCCAUCAGACUCCUGCGGCUGUGCGGAUUCAGAGCCUGGAGGGCAGACCCGCGGGCUCCUGGUGCACAGUCAGGCAAAGGCCCCGCAGGGGCGAGCUGCGAUCUCG